rnacentral:rRNA from 1 species
GAUGAACGCUGGCGGCGUGCCUAAUACAUGCAAGUCGAGCGAACAGACGAGGAGCUUGCUCCUCUGACGUUAGCGGCGGACGGGUGAGUAACACGUGGAUAACCUACCUAUAAGACUGGGAUAACUUCGGGAAACCGGAGCUAAUACCGGAUAAUAUAUUGAACCGCAUGGUUCAAUAGUGAAAGACGGUUUUGCUGUCACUUAUAGAUGGAUCCGCGCCGCAUUAGCUAGUUGGUAAGGUAACGGCUUACCAAGGCGACGAUGCGUAGCCGACCUGAGAGGGGGAGCGGCCACACGGGAACGGAGACAGGGCCCAGACUCCGAAGGGGGGCAGGAGGAGGGAAUCUUCCGCAAGGGGCGAAACCCUGAAGGAGCAACGCCGGGGGAGUGAUGAAGGUUUUCGGAUCGAAAAACCCUUUUAUUAGGAAAAAAAAAAUGGGAAAGUAAAUAUGCACGUUUUGACGGUACCUAAUCAGAAAGCCACGGAUAACUACGG